UACAAAAAAACCAUCGAGUGCAUUAUAUUUCACCUGGAAUUUUUUUUAUAAAUAGAUAAUUAUGACUGAUAACAUAGCAUAAGAAAGAUCAUUACAAAAUCUAAAUUACCAUUCUUGAAAGUCAUCACGCUACCGAAUUUUUAUAUAGAAAAGGACGAUUUUGCAGAAGACAUCAGUACCAGGUAAACAAUGAGUACUUUCUUCCUAAUGUCUCAAAUUUAUUAUUCACUUAAGCUACCAUGAUUAUACCAUUGCAAGUGGAAGCCAUUAGUUCUGUUUAAAUGAGUAUUUACUGAUCGUCAGUUGCCGCCAUACUCAAGGAGUCGAGUCCUCGCGACGACAGGGCAGGAAUAAAUGGCGAAAGUGCUUGCGGUUCUUUAUUUCUUUUUCUUUUUUUCAAAGAACUACGAGCUGCAGAUAGAUCUCUGUGGUAGUGACGGGGCGGGGAGUCGUGCUGCUAUCGGGGCCUUGUGUCACGAGCGACAAUGGAGAACGGCAAAUAACUUGAAAAUAUUACUCGACUGUCGGCACGUUCCGCGAUUGCCGAGUACGAGGAACCCUAAAGGAGACUAAACGACUCGGAGAGACAGUAUAUAUUCUGCAUCGAUUGGUUUGCAUUGGCGGCGCUGGCGGAUUCGCAACUCGAGUGCAUUGUACCCGGUGCAUGAAUGCAUUUGCGGAUUGGAGUCAUUGCUUUACGAUGCAGUACGGAGCUGUAACCAUGGAGCUACCAGCGUACGGUUACUGCACGGGCUGAGGCAGUUGGUUAGCUAUGUGGGUAGGUAGGUAGAACGAGGUAGUAAUAAGACAGUCUAAGGAGAGUGUAGCUCAUGAUAUACGUAUGCAUAUAUACAUAUAGAAAUAUGUACAACGUGUGAUUUUUAUUCUAUCCGCCAUUACUGUACUAGGUAGAUAGAGAGUAGGCCCUGAGAUUUCUAGCGUACCCAGUAGGCACAUUGCCGACUAUAGUAGAUACAGCCAACCAACUAUCCGUGACUCGCUAACAUAAUUGCACCUUCUCUUUCUCAGUUGGCUGAAUAGCGAGACGACAAGACUUACCCGAGUGCUGGCCCACCGAGUAACCAAGCACUGAGGAGUAGGACCCCGAUAGAGGCAUCCCAUAAUUUGGAUGUAAAGUGCGACACGCGACCAUCCGUAAAAAUUUCACUUCCAUCGACAGCUCUUCCUGGUUUUGCUGCGGCUCACCGCGCCUCAUUGCGCGUCAUCGCACCGGCGGCGCCAUGACUGCCCUGGAGGAACUCGUGGAGGAUCCAGAAUAAAGAAAUAGAGUAACGUAACGAAAGAACGGAAGAAGAAAAGAUCCGUUAGUCCUGACACGAGCAUCUCCAUUGAACCACGAAGUCGCGCGACUGCCGUGGAUCUGUUGUAAGUAGAAGCGUCGCGGCGCCAUCCUUGAUCAGGAUAUCCUUUAUUCAGGUGGCGUAAUUAGAGAGUCAACCAGUAGACCAACCACCCAUAGCCAGGAUCUCGUGGAGUUACUGCGUGAUGACUAUAUUUUAUACCGAUACUAUUGGUAUCCUUUGAUCUGAUAUUCAAAAGACGUAAUAUCGCGGCCCAGGAACAAUCGCGGACCACGCCUAUAAAUGCUUUCUUUUUAGCCGUCGUUACAUUUAUAACCUGGCCCGCCGUCACGGAGACGCUCAUGCUGCACGCUGUGUACUUGUACCUACUACUCCCGUUCCAAAAAGCUGGCAUCGUUUCGCUCUUAAGCGAGACUCCUCGCCGAGAAACUCUUUCACGAUUCGCAAGUGAUCCGUGGACUUGUUGCACCGUCCUGCUGUACUGCGUACUGCCCUCAACUCUUGCCUCUCUCUUACGCGGACAUACAGGUUCCUUCUUCUUGGCUCUAGACAGCUUUCUAAUAUCAAUCGCAGAGUCUCGAUACUACUCCUGCGACACCGGGGACGCCAAGUCGAGCUUAAUAAGCCAGCAGCAGCUAACCUCCAUCGUGCCGUUCUCUGACAUUGAGACACCUGGUACUUGUCGUCGUCCUCGCAUUCGCUGGCGACCUGGUCGUCUGAACUCAUAUGCCAUUCUGCAUCUAUAAUACGUCAGGCUUCUAUCUCUAUACGGUUCAGCUUAUGUAUACCUCGUUGUACGUUACUCUUUUUAUUUCUCGUUAUACCCAUUGCAUAAUUAUAUAGUAUAUGAAUAUGUAGGAAAGAUGUGACCGUUGGCGAACAGAGACACCAGGGUCGAAGAAGUCAGGUACGUACGCAUCUGGUGAACGUAUCUGAUACAGUCCUAAGUAGCUUUCGAAGAUUUCUACGUGUUUAGUGAAUAUGGACUCGACUACAGGAUGGAUUUUUAAGGGAUCUUUUACCGGAUAUUAUGAAAAUCUGAUGGUCAGACGUAAGACGAGCCUGGUAAACUCGACUCCAGAAAUAAUCUUUAAGGCUUCGUUAGAUCGUCGUUACUCCAGACGGAGAGUUACGUGACGAGGUUGUUCCUUGGAUGGAGACAGAGCGAAGCCUUGCCGAAUAUAAGGUUACCGUAUGAAAGUGAGAGGGAAGGCGAACCUGCUUGUAAAUACUGGCGCGGAGAGCGGGUGCGAAACGCAGACACGUUUCCAUGCGUUUCAACAUGUUCGACGGGUUUCGACACAAUCCUAAACGUUGUUCGACUUGCCGCGCCAUAGUUUGACACCGGAAAUUGAUAGAAAUCAUUCUCGUAACAUAGCGCCGGUAAUGAGAUUUCGUAAAUGCUACACCCACUUCGCCUCAAUUAAUAGAAACACCUGGACAUACGAACAAUUUCUCUUACAGACAAUUGUCAGGGACGAUAGUAAACGAUAAACUUGAUUCUUAUGAAAUGCCAGGACCCGACGUUAAAGAAAGAUUUCACAUAACUACAUAAUAAGUUAGACUAGCACAAGACACCUAUUAAGUAACGCAUGAGAUGUCAGGAACCGUUACACAAUCCAAACCGUUGUCAGUGACCAAUUGAAACAAGUGUUUCUAGAAAAAUAGCAAAUUGAAAUAUUUUUUUUUUAAUUAAAAAAAAUUCCCAAA